UCGGGGAUCGUCUAAUGGCAGGACAGCGGUUUCUGGUGCCGCGAAUCUAGGUUCGAAUCCUAGUCCCCGAACCA
rnacentral:tRNA from 1 species